CCAGAGAACUUUCCAGAGAUGGAUUGGUGCCCUUCGGGAACUCUGAGACAGGUGCUGCAUGGCUGUCGUCAGCUCGUGUUGUGAAAUGUUGGGUUAAGUCCCGCAACGAGCGCAACCCUUAUCCUUUGUUGCCAGCGGUCCGGCCGGGAACUCAAAGGAGACUGCCAGUGAUAAACUGGAGGAAGGUGGGGAUGACGUCAAGUCAUCAUGGCCCUUACGAGUAGGGCUACACACGUGCUACAAUGGCGCAUACAAAGAGAAGCGACCUCGCGAGAGCAAGCGGACCUCAUAAAGUGCGUCGUAGUCCGGAUUGGAGUCUGCAACUCGACUCCAUGAAGUCGGAAUCGCUAGUAAUCGUGGAUCAGAAUGCCACGGUGAAUACGUUCCCGGGCCUUGUACACACCGCCCGUCACACCAUGGGAGUGGGUUGCAAAAGAAGUAGGUAGCUUAACCUUCGGGAGGGCGCUUACCACUUUGUGAUUCAUGACUGGGGUGAAGUCGUAACAAGGUAAGCGUAGUGCU
rnacentral:rRNA from 1 species